AAGUAUACUACGUACACAAAGGCAGUUUGGCGUGCAGCAGUGCGCAACAAUCCUACAUCGAAGUGUGUUUGCCGAUUGUCAUCGGGGGAUGGAGAGGUACAUUGGCAGCAACGCUGAUGUAGGUUUCGAUCGUGAAACCACUGACUAAAUAUGGAAUAAACCUGAUAUUAUAUGGAUUUUCGUAUUUCGUGUUCUGAAAUAUCGAUCUCGAAAGAGACCGGACUAUUUCUUACGAUCUGUGCGACUCAUAUUUAUAUGUGAAACAUAUUUGACUCAAUCAUCGAGAACAAUAAAAGUGAACUUGGCACUUUACGGAACAUCGCGUCACAUGUUCUGUAAUACCGACCAUUCAGAGGUUUUAUUACGCCCUCUACAAUUUAUAACGUUGGGUAGAGUGUAAUUAGUCCGUUUGAACGCGCUCCAUAUAUUUAAACGAAAUUUUAGUUAGUGGGCAAUUAAAUAAACUUCUUCUAAUUGGAUUGAUUUAUCUGAACCUGAAUUACUACUAUGAACGAGAAAUCCAGGUUCAAAUAAACGGAAUGUCAGAAUACUUUAUACUCAAUACAAACACGAAAAUGAGUAAAAUUAGAGAUAUUGGCAAUGUACUGUGAUUAUCGGUGGACAAAAUAAACGUAACAUGAAAUACUUUCUUGUAUCCCACGAUUUAAAGGUUUAUAUGUAGUUAUGAAAUCGUACAUUAUUGUUGUAGAGAAAAUAAAGAAUUCUACGCAUCUAUAAUAUGCGUUUAUAAUACGCGUUUGCACAGAUUGAAUUAACGGUAAAUUAAAAUAAUAAUUUUGUACUUGAUAGAAGAUGCUUCGAUGCUGUGUACUUCGUGUAUAAUAAGACCAUGUGAAACUAACCUUUAUGCCGACAACCGAUAAUUAACAUUCGAAUUAAAUGCGGAAGUUAACCAAUAAAUUCAUGCUUUACGAAGAAAAAAUUUGUUACGACUGAAUCUUCUACUGAAUGUAAUAUGUAAAUCUUCGUUCUAAUCUCUUAUGUAAAUUUGAAU